CCUACGGGAGGCUGCAGUAGGGAAUCUUCCACAAUGGGCGAAAGCCUGAUGGAGCAACGCCGCGUGGGUGAAGAAGGUCUUCGGAUCGUAAAACCCUGUUGUUAGAGAAGAAAGUGCGUGAGAGUAACUGUUCACGUUUCGACGGUAUCUAACCAGAAAGCCACGGCUAACUACGUGCCAGCAGCCGCGGUAAUACGUAGGUGGCAAGCGUUAUCCGGAUUUAUUGGGCGUAAAGGGAACGCAGGCGGUCUUUUAAGUCUGAUGUGAAAGCCUUCGGCUUAACCGGAGUAGUGCAUUGUAAACUGGGAGACGUGAGUGCAGAAGAGGAGAGUGGAACUCCAUGUGUAGCGGGGAAAUGCGUAGAUAUAUGGAAGAACACCAGUGGCGAAAGCGGCUCUCUGGUCUGUAACUGACGCUGAGGUUCGAAAGCGUGGGUAGCAAACAGGAUUAGUACCCGAGUAGUC
rnacentral:rRNA from 1 species